rnacentral:rRNA from 1 species
AACGGCCGCGGUAUCCUAACCGUGCAAAGGUAGCAUAAUAACUUGCCUAUUAAUUAUAGGAUAGAAUGAAAGGGUAAACGAAAUAGGAGCUGUCUCUAUUAGCCCAAUGAAAAUUAUUUUUUAACUGAAGAAAGUUAAAUUCAACUGAAGGACAAGAAGACCCUAUAGAGCUUAAUUUAACCUACUAAAUAAGUAAAAAUUAAAUUCGGUUGGGGCGACCGAUGCUCUACAAAUCAUCACCCACAAAAAGAAAUAUACAUCUCAAAAAAGACCCUGACCCAGAUCAAAAAAACAAGCUACCUUAGGGAUAACAGGCUAAUCUCAUUAAUGAGUCCCCAUCUCUAAUGUUGGUUGGUACCUCGAUGUUGGCUUAGG